GUGAAUCAUCGAAUUUUUGAACGCAAAUUGCACUUUCCGGUAUUCCGGAAAGUAUGCCUGUUUGAGGGUCAGUUAGAUAAAAAUCGGUGUUGUUGCUGCCUUUUGUGGUGACGCGUCGGUCUUGGGUCGUCUUACCUUCGGUCUAGUGACUUAAAAUUUUUGCAUGUUUUUCGAUUGUUUUUAAAUCGCUUACGUAUGUUUGAGACAUUGAAUGCUUAUUAGGUUCGGUCAUUCCUAUGUUUCGUGCCUAUAAUUUUUCAUUAUAUGACCUUAAAUAAGGUAAGAUUACCCUAUG
rnacentral:misc_RNA from 1 species